GACGAACCUUGCUAACGUUAUCCGGAAUUACUGGGUUUAAAGGGUGCGUAGGCGGCUUUGUAAGUCAGGAGUGAAAGUUUGCGGCUCAACCGUAAAAUUGCUUUUGAUACUGCGAGGCUAGAAUUAGGAUGAGGUCAGCGGAAUGUGGCAUGUAGCGGUGAAAUGCAUAGAUAUGCCAUAGAACACCAAUUGCGAAGGCAGCUGGCUAGACCUGGAUUGACGCUGAGGCACGAAAGCGUGGGGAGCGAACAGG
rnacentral:rRNA from 1 species